rnacentral:lncRNA from 1 species
AAGUUAAUUUAUUUAUUUAUUGUAAGUGAUCUGAUUGACAUUGUGAUUUGAUCAACCAAACCAUGGAAGCUCAAACUCCUUGGUGGGUCCCACCAGCAGAAAUCAUAUUAUAUCACAUUAAGACAGUAUAAGCGGUAGGGUGGUUCUUAGUGAACAAGCUCGUGCUCAAUUGUUGGGAGGUUCCUAGCUUUGUCAUUGUCGACUAGGUGCAUGCGCCAUCUCAGUAGUGUGGUUCCAGAAAUUAUCGUAGAUAACAUUCUCAUCAAAGAUAAAAUGAGGGAGAAAGAACGCAACGGGAGAAAAAUCUCCGGCGAACCAGACAAGUGGGAACGGACGGGAACUCGUGAGGAGGAAUCAGACGAACGAGAAGAAUAGACGGAACAUUGCGGUGAAGAAUCAAUGGGAAAAUGAGGGAGACACCGAGGAAGAAUGGAAACGGAAGCCAACGGACGUACGGGGAAUAAUUGGAAGAAAAGUCGCGACGGCAAACAAUGGAGGAACGAGGAAAAACAGACGGAAAACAAAUGAGAACUGAGGUGGGAAAAAGGAACGGGGGACUCUCAGUAGACAUGUUGGGUUUCCUCGAAGAGCCAUGGUAUCGCACUGCGUUGGAAAAACGAGUCGUUCGACGACAGAAAUCCGUCGGAUUUUCGCCCAGGAAAAUAGGAGUUUUGACGGCGAGAGAGUCGAUUGAUCUUCGGCGGAAAAUGACAUGUAGCCAGAAAACGGAAGAUUUGACGAGGAGAAAGUUUGCUGCUCUUUGCCGCGAAAAAUGAGGGUUUCGACGACGAAAAGUCGUGCUG